CUUGCUUGUUUAUCAUUCCCAAGUUCGGUAUUAGCUCCCAGCAAUGAAAGGUUAAGUCACUCAAGAAAGAUGAACUCGGUAUAUCAUCAGGAGAUCCCGAAUGAGAAUCGCAGCAGCAGCAGCAGCAGAAGGAGAGAGGUUUGCUCACUUAAGAAAGAUGACCAUACCCUCAUGCAUGUUCGAAGUAAUUACAUAUAUUCAUGCGGAUUUUUGUAUUGUAUCGUGAAUAAAAAUUGUAAGCAGUUCUUGUUUAUAUACUCUCUGAAGUAUAAUACAGAGUUGCCUGACAUAUUCCUUCGACGAGACUUGGAAUAAAAACAAGAAUCAUGAACAUUUUAUACACUAUCUGAAGGCUAUAGUGCUAGAACUCUGAACGAUCUUAAAUCUUGAAGAUUGAGUCUCUGAUACUGUUCUCCUGCAUUUUCUUCCCACCAGGGUCUUCAGUGAUGUCUUCUGUUCAAGAACUCCGAGAUACUUUAACACUUUAUGGUAGGCAAAUUAUCAAUUGCAUGCAUAUAAAGUGCCCUUGUAUCCUUGCCAUCAUCAAUCGAAUGGGAAAACUCGUGAGGCACGAAUGAUUAACAAAUGGUGUUUCUCUGUGUCUCUCCAGCCAAGCUGACGCUGAUGAAAUUCAUUGGUGCACAAAGAUGUGUUCUACUGUAUGAUGCGAGGGGAUGAAGAAGAGACGAGCAUAAUUACCUGGUCGGCUGAAGUAUAUGUAGAGGCAGAGGACGUUUAAGUGAUAUUCGUGCUUAACCCUUUGUAUGUGCGCACGGACCCUGCCUGUGUGUUCCGAUCAGGAACCAGGCAUAUUCGCUUUACCGAGAGCUUUUAGGUGAUAUUCAUGCAUGUCCCCCUGUCUAUACAUGGGACACUUCCGAAAAGAAAUUAGGAGCAUUCAAGAUGUUUGAACCCCUAUCCGUGUGUGUGGACUUUCACAUGUGCAUUUCAAUCAAGAACUAGGAGUAUUCAGGGCACACAUAGAGUUUAGGUGAUAUUCGUGCAUGAACUAUCGUCCGUGCACGGAAUUUAGGUGAUAUUCGUGCAUGAACUGUUGUCCCUGCACGCAGACACCUACUCCAAGUAAUGAUUGACGAGUACCGUGGUGAGCUUCGCUCCAAAUCUCGCUGAAACACGCUCCAAGGCUAUCGCAAUCUCUUCCAUCUCAUGAAUGCUUUCAACUGGGUCAGGGCCAGCGGGUGUCUUGAUGUCCAAAUCUCCAUGAGAAGAGAUGAAUUUAUACUGCAGUCGCCCUUGAGCUGGAAUCAAACUUGUUCUGUCCGAUGGCCCCUGUCUUCAUUGCUUGCUUGGGAAGUAAAACUGGCCGCCCCUUUCGGUGGAUUCGGUGCCCACC
rnacentral:lncRNA from 1 species